rnacentral:rRNA from 1 species
GAUGAACGCUAGCGGGAGGCUUAAUACAUGCAAGUCGAGGGGUAACAUAGAAGCUUGCUUCUGAUGACGACCGGCGCACGGGUGAGUAACGCGUACACAACCUACCUUCAAGAGGGGGAUAGCCUUGGGAAACUGAGAUUAAUACCCCAUGUGAUUAACCUAUAAUAUGAUUGGUUAAUUAAAGUUCCGGCGCUUGAAGAUGGGUGUGCGUCCCAUUAGGUAGUUGGUGAGGUAAUGGCUCACCAAGCCGACGAUGGGUAGGGGGCGUGAGAGCGUGGCCCCCCACACGGGUACUGAGACACGGACCCG